rnacentral:lncRNA from 1 species
AAUGGGCUAGUUCCAUAUGCUUAGCAGAUCUCACCUUGGGUUUAUGUACUUGUUUUUGCUUAGGGCCCUCGGGGACCGAAAGGUGAUACUGGUUUGCCUGGAUCACAAGGACUUAAAGGACAACAGGGUGAAAAGGGAGAACCAGGAGCUAUCAUUACUGCUGAUGGAUCUUUACCUGAAUUAUUAGGAAGAAAAGGGGAGAAGGGUGAAGCUGGAGUGGUGGGACCAGUGGGACCAGUGGUAAGAUAUUUCCAAAGAUGAGUGGGUUCUUUUUUUUCUUUUUGCUUUGGUUUUACAGAUAAUGGUAAAUAUAAAUAUAGCUAAAUAUAGCUUUUCAUUUCUUCUGGGUAGGGAUGAUAAUGCAUAUUCAUGCUUCAGGAUGAUCAAUGUCCUUCAGAAAAGAAUGUGGUUGUUACAUAUGUGGUGCUGUAAACUACUGCCUUGAUUCAGAAUUUAAAUUCUGGUAGCACAAAUGUAUCCAUUACUAUCUAAAUAGACGGUGAAAUAUCAUCAGCACUAGAAACUUACAUAACUUAUGGCUCUGAGUGAACUGGGUUUGUUUAGCCCUGAAGAUAAAAGGCUGAGAGUGGCUAUAUUUGUUCCCUGCCACUGCCUGAAAGGGAAUUAUC